CUGCCUACGGGGCGCAGCAGUAGGGAAUCUUCCACAAUGGACGAAAGUCUGAUGGAGCAACGCCGCGUGAGUGAAGAAGGGUUUCGGCUCGUAAAGCUCUGUUGGUAGUGAAGAAAGAUAGAGGUAGUAACUGGCCUUUAUUUGACGGUAAUUACUUAGAAAGUCACGGCUAACUACGUGCCAGCAGCCGCGGUAAUACGUAGGUGGCAAGCGUUGUCCGGACUUAUUGGGCGUAAAGCGAGUGCAGGCGGGUUCAUAAGGCUUGUGUGGAAGGCUUUCGCUCCACCCGAGGAUUGCA
rnacentral:rRNA from 1 species